ensembl:lncRNA
CUCUUCAUCAUGCAGCCAAACCAAAACACCUAGAUACUUGCCUCCAGUCCCAGCUAGUUAUCGUUCUAAUUAGAUCACCUGGUAGAUAUCAUAGGGGCGGUGAGGGGUGUGCCGCCCCGCUAGUUUCCCUGGUAACCAACAAGAAGACCGGAAGUCAGUUCCCCCAGGAACUGGUAACCUCCCCCUCUCCCAUCACGAAGGCUGCCGCCAUCCUCUGCUGCCUCUGCCGCCUGCCAUCUGCACCGCAGGUGGAGGGAUGUCGCUCCAGGACCUUGCUUCAGAUACGUAAGCGCCCCCAUCCAUUAGAUCCUCAGGCCACGGACCAGUACUGGUCCAGGACCUGGUAGGAACUGGGGCACUGCACAGGAGGCUCAAGUUUGGUUUCCAGAUAAAGGAGUUUAUUUUACUCCUGCUUGCCUUGAGGCCAGCUGCUUCACAAUGCUUAUUAAUGAGCAUAAUGACAGAGGAACAGAGAAAAAGAAUAGGCCAAACGUGGCAGCUCCCAGCCCAGUGAUUCGAAGUGAACACCUGUGAUGAAACCCACUUGGGAAAAUAAAAGAAAAAACAGAGUUCAUCAGAACCAGAAUUUCAUGGAUUCUUUAUUGUGGAGGAGAAGGCUGAGAAAAAUCCAAGUGAGGCCAUUUAAAGCUGAUUUUGAGGACCCAAGAUAUGUUGAAGGGAGAAGCCAGGAAAGGAUGCCACUGGAUACCAACCUGGGGCUGCCUGUUCGGAAUCAGAGGAGGCUUGAUGGUCCAAAUGAAGGGAGAGUAAGGCAAUUGUCUGGACUCUGCAUGUGUAUAUAAUCAGCAAAUAAAAGAUUUU